rnacentral:lncRNA from 1 species
UGGGACGAAGGCAGGAACUCUGGAUGGCUAAAGAAAAUCCUGUAGUAUUCCACUAAGAAAACAACCUUCUGAACAAUUUAGUACAUUAUCUCAAGGUUUCUUUUUUUUACAUUUGAAAUAAGCCUUAAUAGUGCUCAUUACUCAUUAGCUUUCAGGUGUGGGAGAACCAUUGUAGCUUAGUUAUUGGCAUUGAAAAUGACCAAACAUCAGGGACACCAGUAGCGUCUUCUGCUGGCUGUAGUGCCUGGGCAUCCCCAGAUGGCCCUGGGGACUGUCCCGGACUCAAACUGCUACUGGGCACAGGGAGCAAGAGCCUGCAAGACUGUGCCUCCAGGUCAGGUCUAGAUUUGGGCUCGUGGCAGUGGACGGGGAAGGGCCAGUCGCCGCCGCCUCUUGGAAAAUCCUUGCUGCGCUGUGACCGGCUUGCACACUUGGCAGCCGCCUCUCCGCUUCACGCACCCUCUGGUAACGAAAAGUAUUUAGUAAUAGCCUUUUGCUGCAACUUUUUUCCUGAUAAUCCUUCUUCUUCUGAACUUUCUUUUUCUUUCUGACUAGAGUUCCUGGGCUCUUAUCAACACAUGCCCUAACUAUUCUUGGUUCCACUGGGGUGCCUUCUUCCCUUAGUAAUUUACUUCUCACCCCUUCCAUAUUUUCAUCACAAAGACAAUACAAUACACUGAGACAAAACAAGACACAAACAUACUGUAUCAAUCUUCUCCAUUUUCUCGAAAUGGCCAUUUUUCCUCUCGCCCUAUCUGCCUAGGGACGAGCAGAUUUGCUCCCGUCCUAUCUAUGGACGGGCAGCUUUUUUUCGUCACUUACCCCCGAGUGUCCCGGGGCUCCCCGUAACGGGCCAC